rnacentral:rRNA from 1 species
GGAAGGUGGGGAUGACGUCAAGUCCUCAUGGCCUUUAUGCCCAGGGCUACACACGUGCUACAAUGGGCGGUACAAAGAGCAGCUAACGUCGCGAGAGUAUGACAAAUCUCAAAAAACCGUCCUCAGUUCGGAUUGGAGUCUGCAACUCGACUCCAUGAAGUCGGAAUCGCUAGUAAUCGCGGAUCAGCAUGCCGCGGUGAAUUACCGGUUCCCGGGCCUU